rnacentral:lncRNA from 1 species
CAGCUGGUCUUCAGUCCAGCUUGUUUCACACGUGACAGGAAUCUGACCCUCAGAAAAUAAUCACAUGCGCGGAGCUCACUAGUGGCAGAGCCCACGACACCCGCUCCUCUCCAGCUCUCUCUUUAGGGACAGAGAUCUCUAGAAAUACAAUUAAACAAGCAGCCCCUGUCUCUUUUUCUCCACUUUCAGUCUUGGGGAAGGGAUUGGAAUAUGUGAGCAGGAGAGAAGGGUCAUGUUGGAGCAGCCAGGUCAUCGUGAAAAUUGAAAGUGAUAAUCACCAUGAAAG